rnacentral:tRNA from 1 species
CGCCAGAUAGCUCAAUUGGUAGAGCACCUGACUAGAGAUUCAGGGGGCCCGGGUUCGAAUCCCGGUCUGGUCCGU